rnacentral:rRNA from 1 species
UACGUAGGGGGCAAGCGUUGUCCGGAAUCAUUGGGCGUAAAGAGCGUGUAGGCGGCUCGAUAAGUCCGUUCUGAAAGUCCAGGGCUCAACCCUGGGAUGCGGAUGGAUACUGUCGGGCUCGAGUCCGGAAGAGGCGAGUGGAAUUCCCGGUGUAGCGGUGAAAUGCGCAGAUAUCAGGAGGAAUACCAGCGGCGAAGGCGGCGCUCUGGGCCGGUACUGACGCUGAGGAGCGAAAGCGUGGGGAGCAAACAGG